rnacentral:rRNA from 1 species
AGUGAACGCUGGCGGCAGGCCUAACACAUGCAAGUCGAGCGGCAGCGCGGGGGCAACCCUGGCGGCGAGCGGCGGACGGGUGAGGAAUUCGUCGGAAUCUGCCUUUUUGUGGGGGAUAACGUAGGGAAACUUACGCUAAUACCGCAUACGUCCUACGGGAGAAAGUGGGGGACCGCAAGGCCUCACGCAGAAAGAUGAGCCGACGACCGAUUAGCUAGUUGGUGGGGUAAAGGCCCACCAAGGCGACGAUCGGUAGCUGGUCUGAGAGGAAGAUCAGCCACACUGGGACUGAGACACGGCCCAGACUCCUACGGGAGGCAGCAGUGGGGAAUAUUGGACAAUGGGCGCAAGCCUGAUCCAGCCAUGCCGCGUGUGUGAAGAAGGCCUUCGGGUUGUAAAGCACUUUUGUCCGGAAAGAAAUCCCUGGAGCUAAUACCUUCGGGGGAUGACGGUACCGGAAGAAUAAGCACCGGCUAACUUCGUG